UUAUGUUGUGGGGAUAAACAUUAUGUCUCACUAGGGAAUGUCUGCCCCGCGUGACAUUGUAAGAGCUCAUAAAUCCACCCUUCAGGCAGUGUUAAUUAAACAUGCCAAAGGAGAUCUCAUUUUAAAAAUGGCCAAAAUGGGGCAACUUCAGUUUAUUCAAACUGAUAUGUGCACUCUGAAAAAGCCGGCUACAACACGGGAAGGCUGUUUGAAACAUAGGAGGCUUCUAAAUGACAUCGGAAAUACUUUACUGCCUCCUUAAGAGAAAACAAUUAAAUAAUUCAACAUGUUAGCAGCCAAAGCCACAUCUGCUGCUUCUCUCACUGAGACUCCCCACUUCAACUCCCCUGAAAUUCCUGAUCUAAAAUUAAACAAGUGAAAAUAAGUAAACCUGUGAGACAAUUUGGAAUCGUAAUGGCCGUUCUGGGGAGCCUCUGUUUCAGAUAGCCAAGACUGAGGAUCCAGAACGAGAAGCACGACUUUAGAAGCUGCUUCUGGAACAUGCCGGGUUCGUGAGAAGGCAGCGCUCUACAAGCCACAAAGCAGGCCUCACCAGACACCGGCUCUGCCAGGGCCUUGAACGUGGACUUCUCAGCCUCCAGGACUGUGAGAAAUAAAUGCUUGCUGUUUAAGUGCAUAGUCUAUGGUAUUUUUGUUACAGCCGCCUACCCUGACUAAGACACGGUGGGAUAUCACACUGAAAAUGAGGUG
rnacentral:lncRNA from 1 species